rnacentral:rRNA from 1 species
UACGGAGGGUGCGAGCGUUGUCCGGAAUCACUGGGCGUAAAGGGCGCGUAGGCGGCCUGAUAAGUAGGGGGUGAAAUCCUGCGGCUUAACCGCAGGGCUGCCUUCUAAACUGUCAGGCUCGAGCACAGUAGAGGCAGGUGGAAUUCCCGGUGUAGCGGUGGAAUGCGUAGAGAUCGGGAAGAACAUCAGUGGCGAAGGCGGCCUGCUGGGCUGUUGCUGACGCUGAGGCGCGACAGCGUGGGGAGCAACAGG